GAUGAACGCUAGCGGCAUGCUUUACACAUGCAAGUCGAACGGCAGCGGGGGCUUCGGCCCGCCGGCGAGUGGCGAACGGGUGAGUAAUGCAUCGGAACGUGCCCAGUCGUGGGGGAUAACACAUCGAAAGAUGUGCUAAUACCGCAUACGUCCUGAGGGAGAAAGCGGGGGAUCUUCGGACCUCGCGCGAUUGGAGCGGCCGAUGUCGGAUUAGCUAGUUGGUGGGGUAAAAGCCCACCAAGGCGACGAUCCGUAGCGGGUCUGAGAGGAUGAUCCGCCACACUGGGACUGAGACACGGCCCAGACUCCUACGGGAGGCAGCAGUGGGGAAUUUUGGACAAUGGGGGCAACCCUGAUCCAGCCAUGCCGCGUGAGUGAAGAAGG
rnacentral:rRNA from 1 species